rnacentral:rRNA from 1 species
GAUGAACGCUGGCGGCGUGCCUAAUACAUGCAAGUCGAGCGAAUGGAUUAAGAGCUUGCUCUUAUGAAGUUAGCGGCGGACGGGUGAGUAACACGUGGGUAACCUGCCCAUAAGACUGGGAUAACUCCGGGAAACCGGGGCUAAUACCGGAUAACAUUUUGAACCGCAUGGUUCGAAAUUGAAAGGCGGCUUCGGCUGUCACUUAUGGAUGGACCCGCGUCGCAUUAGCUAGUUGGUAAGGUAACGGCUCACCAAGGCAACGAUGCGUAGCCGACCUGAGAGGGUGAUCGGCCACACUGGGACUGAGACACGGCCCAGACUCCUACGGGAGGCAGCAGUAGGGAAUCUUCCGCAAUGGACGAAAGUCUGACGGAGCAACGCCGCGUGAGUGAUGAAGGCUUUCGGGUCGUAAAACUCUGUUGUUAGGGAAGAACAAGUGCUAGUUGAAUAAGCUGGCACCUUGACGGUACCUAACCAGAAAGCCACGGCUAACUACGUGCCAGCCGCUGCGGUAA